UUGAACGCUGGCGGCAUGCUUUACACAUGCAAGUCGAACGGUAACAGGCCUUCGGGUGCUGACGAGUGGCGAACGGGUGAGUAAUGCAUCGGAACGUACCCAGAGGUGGGGGAUAACGCAGCGAAAGCUGUGCUAAUACUGCAUGUGAUCUGAGGAUGAAAGCGGGGGACCGAGCAGCAAUGUUUGGCCUCGCGCCCUUGGAGCGGCCGAUGUCGGAUUAGCUAGUUGGUGGGGUAAAGGCCUACCAAGGCGACGAUCCGUAGCUGGUCUGAGAGGACGACCAGCCACACUGGGACUGAGACACGGCCCAGACUCCUACGGGAGGCAGCAGUGGGGAAUUUUGGACAAUGGGCGCAAGCCUGAUCCAGCAAUGCCGCGUGCGGGAAGAAGGCCUUCGGGUUGUAAACCGCUUUUGGCAGGAACGAAACGGUGUCCGCUAAUACCGGGCGCUAAUGACGGUACCUGCAGAAUAAGCACCGGCUAACUACGUG
rnacentral:rRNA from 1 species